GGCCGGAUGGCGGAAUUGGCAGACGCACAGGACUUAAAAUCCUGUGGCCCUUACGGGCCGUACGGGUUCGACCCCCGUUCCGGCUA
rnacentral:tRNA from 1 species